rnacentral:rRNA from 1 species
GGGGAAUAUUGCACAAUGGGGGAAACCCUGAUGCAGCAACGCCGCGUGAGUGAUGAAGGCCUUCGGGUUGUAAAGCUCUGUCUUCAGGGACGAUAAUGACGGUACCUGAGGAGGAAGCCACGGCUAACUACGUGCCAGCAGCCGCGGUAAUACGUAGGUGGCAAGCGUUGUCCGGAUUUACUGGGCGUAAAGGGAGCGUAGGCGGAUACUUAAGUGGGAUGUGAAAUACCUGGGCUUAACUUGGGUGCUGCAUUUGAAACUGGGUGUCUAGAGUGCAGGAGAGGAAAGUGGAAUUCCUAGUGUAGCGGUGAAAUGCGUAGAGAUUAGGAAGAACACCAGUGGCGAAGGCGACUUUCUGGACUGUAACUGACGCUGAGGCUCGAAAGCGUGGGGAGCAGAC